rnacentral:lncRNA from 10 species
ACUAAAGCAAGCUCUUCAAGGAAAGUAAAAAUAGUCAACGGGAGUACAAGAGAAAUACAGGAAUAAACCUUGGCGUAUUUUCCCGAGCAUUAAUGGGUUGACAGUGAAGAUGAAUCACCUGUCUCUAACAUUCUACUAUCAAAACCUGAGAUCAGAAGUUCCAUGUAAAAAUAUAUCAGCUGGCCGCGGUGGCUCACGCCUAUAAUCCCAGCACUUUGGGAAGCUGAGGCAGGCAGAUCACUUGAGGUCAGGAGUUCAAGACCAGCCAGACAUUAUCCUUACACAUAGGUGAAAAAACCGAGUUCAGUGGCGCGAUCUUGGCUUACUGUAACCUCUGCCUCCCAGGUUCAAGCGAUUCUCCUGCCUCAGCCUCCAGAGUAGCUGGGAUUAACCUGCCUCAGCCUCCCAAAGUGCUGAAAUUACAGGCAUGAGCCACCACG